rnacentral:lncRNA from 1 species
UUGGUAACCUCCAGUAGUCUGAUAAUCAGCAGGAUUGUAGUAAGUUCCAGAAUAACUUGCAGUCGCAGCAGGAUAAGAUCCUGGAUUCUGAAAUGAGGAAAUAGGCUGAUAAGGAGCACCUGUGUUUUGAUACGCCCCUGACAGGCUUGGUUGCUGCUGCUGCUGCUGCUGUUGGUAGCCACUGUAGUAAUUGGAAUAUCCGGCGUUUGAGUAGUUUUGUGGUGUGUCAGAAGAGGUCUGGUACGGCGUGUAUCCACUAUAAUCCUG